rnacentral:lncRNA from 10 species
GUGAAUGCAAAGUCUUUGGCAAUGAUAGUUACAUGAUAAGUGGCAAUUAGUAUUAUUAGUAGUAGUAGUAGUAGCAGUAGUUGUAGUAUUGAUGCAUAUCUAAAGAAAAAUGCCUCAAAUUAUAGGGUAUGGGCACUCUCAACUGCCUUUGUGAUUUUGUAGGGCUUGUCAGCAGGGCCUUAGAGAAGUUUAUCUGAGAAACUCUACACCUCACAGCAAUCUUUUCUUAGGAGAUGGAAAGCAUGGAAGAAAGGUGGUAGAGCAACAAGAGUAGUAGCCAGAAAUUCUACCUGAGAAGUAGAGUAUAAUAAUAGGGAGGUGCAAGAAGCAGGUGAAUUAUCAUUUUACACACACACAUAUAUUCAUGUAUGUACUCAUCUUUAACUAACCAUGACAGCUUUAGGAGACAUUGCUCUAGAAAAAGUAUUUGUCAAAGAAGAAUGGAUGCUGCUCUUGCAAGGCUGAAGGCUUCAGAUUACUGAAAACCAUGGAAGAAGACCUCAGAGCUUCUUUGAUUCCUGGGCCAGGUGCAUAUUUUGCUCCGUGAUGAAGGACAUCAACAAGUUUCUGUUGCAGAAUACCCCCAACAUUCAAACUGGAGUUUGGAGGUGGUAAGAAAUCUAGAAGUUCCAGUUCAACUUUGAAGUUACCAGUUGUUUCUGUUUCUCAUAGUUCAUGUGCAUAUUCUAUUCUGAAUUGUCUACCACAUCGACUUUAAGUGACAACAAAAAGACAGUGGCAUUGCAUACAUUGUGUAGCCAACUUCCACAAGUGCAUAUUUCAAAUAUCUAUAAUGUAUCUGUUAUAUGUAUUAGUAUGUGUGUAUAUGUGUGUGAAUGUAUAUAUACAUAUGCAUGCAUACAUACAUAGAGAUGAGGAUAGAGCUAUGUGUGAGUAUAUAUACACAGAUAUACAUACAUACAUUCACUGUAUAAUGACAUUUUGGUCAAAGAUGGAUUCGAUAUAAGAUGGUGG